GGGAUUAGCUCAGCUGGUAGAGCGCCUGCUUUGCAAGCAGGAGGUCAGCGGUUCGAGCCCGCUAUCCUCCACCAC
rnacentral:tRNA from 1 species